rnacentral:rRNA from 1 species
GACGAACGCUGGCGGCGUGCCUAAUACAUGCAAGUUGAGCGCUGAAGGUUGGUACUUGUACCAACUGGAUGAGCAGCGAACGGGUGAGUAACGCGUGGGGAAUCUGCCUUUGAGCGGGGGACAACAUUUGGAAACGAAUGCUAAUACCGCAUAAAAACUUUAAACACAAGUUUUAAGUUUGAAAGAUGCAAUUGCAUCACUCAAAGAUGAUCCCGCGUUGUAUUAGCUAGUUGGUGAGGUAAAGGCUCACCAAGGCGAUGAUACAUAGCCGACCUGAGAGGGUGAUCGGCCACAUUGGGACUGAGACACAGCCCAAACUCCUACGGGAGGCAGCAGUAGGGAAUCUUCGGCAAUGGACGAAAGUCUGACCGAGCAACGCCGCGUGAGGGAAGAAGGGUUUCGGAUCGUAAAACUCUGUUGGUAGAGAAGAACGUUGGUGAGAGUGGAAAGCUCAUCAAGUGACGGUAACUACCCAGAAAGGGACGGCUAACUACGUG